UGGCGAACGGGUGAGUAACACGGUAGGUAACCUGCCGCGCAGAGGGGGAUAACGACUGGAAACGGUCGCCAACACCGCAUGGUACUAACUUGACGGGAGUCUGGUUGGUUAAAACCUUGGUGCUGCGCGAGGGGCCUGCGUCCGAUUAGUUAGUUGGUGAGGCAACGGCUUACCAAGGCUACGAUCUGUAUCCGGUCUAAGAGGACGGUCGGACACACUGACACUGAAUAACGGGUCAG
rnacentral:rRNA from 1 species